rnacentral:rRNA from 1 species
CGAGAAUCUUCCACAAUGGACGAAAGUCUGAUGGAGCGACGCCGCGUGAGUGAUGAAGGCCCUACGGGUUGUAAAACUCUGUCAGGAGAGAAGAAUCGCCGGGAUGCCAAUACCAUCCUGGUUUGACGUUAUCUCCAGAGGAAGCUCCGGCUAACUCCGUGCCAGCAGCCGCGGUAAUACGGGGGGAGCAAGCGUUGUCCGGAAUUAUUGGGCGUAAAGGGCGUGUAGGCGGCCUGGUCAGUCGAAUGUGAAAUCCCACGGCUCAACCGUGGAAUUGCGUUCGAUACUGCCUGGCUUGAGUAUGUGAGAGGUGUGCGGAAUUCCUGGUGUAGCGGUGGAAUGCGUAGAUAUCAGGAAGAACACCGAUGGCGAAGGCAGCACACUGGCGCAAUACUGACGCUGAGGCGCGAAAGCGUGGGGAGCAAAC